GGGAAUGGAUAGGUCCUGGUGGGCCUCGGGGACUUCAAAUCCUCUCGUCGGGCGUAACCGUCCGAGGUGGGUUCGAUUCCCACACAUUCCCGCCA
rnacentral:tRNA from 1 species